GUUGUGUUUGUGUCACCAUAAAAAGCUGAUAUUCAUGCAGUCGUGUUUUUUGAUAUUUUUGUUAUUUUGUAAUCGUGUAUCUUUUUAAAGGUCUAAUGGCUCCGUUCAGCUGUUGUGUGCAGACGGUGGAAAAGUUCAACAAGUAAACAUUUAUUUAAUCCAAAUUAAAUACUCAUAUUUCUAUGUAAAAUGUCACAUUAUUUUAUAAAUAAAUAAGUAAGAAACAAAA